rnacentral:lncRNA from 1 species
UUGGAUAAAACAAAAAAAACAUUAUUUUUGAAAGAUGAUGGCUGGGUAUGACAUUUUGUACUGCUCCAAGUAAAUUUUUUUCUUUGCUGUAAUAUGGAUGAAAAUAGUAACUUCCAUGAUUUCGACGACUCUGUCAAAGAGAUGGUCUCUUUGACAUGCACUGGAAUUUAUUAUUGAGAGCAUGUGAUUUUAAGCAUGUUGGCCAAUUGAACACCUUCAUCAUCUCACCCUCAGAUGCAUCUUGUUGAGCCAGAUUUAGACCGGGCCUGUAUAAUCUGAAAUAUUGAUAUAUUCUUGAACCAUGGGGAAUCUAUUCUAAGAUGUGAGUUGAUUUCAUCUGUCAUAUAAUUGGAUCCUAUUAAAGAAAUCUGACUGUUUCUUCCUGAGAGAUAUCAUGAGCUCAAGCUACAUCUGAACCUGCAGAUAUAAAGAUUUUAGGUUACUCUCUGCAGAGACAUGAACAUUUUGUAUGGCAAAAAAAUGGGAAAACAAGGCGCAAUGUUACCCUGGGAUAUCUCCCAACAAAUUGGGAAGAGUUUG